AUGAUCAGCGAACACACAAUGAGCGCACACGAUCAGCGAACACACACACACGAUGAGCACACACACGAUCAGCGCACACAGAAUCAGCGAACACACGAUCAGCGCACACACGAUCAGCGCACACACACAAUCAGUGAUCACACGAUCAGCGCACACACACAAUCAGCGAUCACACGAUCAGCGCACACAGGAUCAGCGCACACACAAUCAGCGCACACACACAAUCAGCGAUCACACGAUCAGCGCACACACGAUCAGCGAUCACACGAUCGGCGCACACACGAUCAGCGAACACACGAUCAGCGCACACACGAUCAGCGCACACACGCGAUCGGCGAACACAAACGAUCAGCGCACACAAACGAUCAGCGAACACACGAUCAGCGCACACACGAUCAGCGCACACACGCGAUCGGCGAACACAAACGAUCAGCGAACACAAACGAUCAGCGAACACACGAUCAGCAAACACACGUUCAGCGCACACACGUUCAGCGCACACACACGAUCAGCGAACACACGAUCAGCGAACACACGAUCAACGAACACACGAUCAGCGAACACACGAUCAGCGCACACACACGAUCAGCGAACACACGAUCGGCGAUCACACGAUCAGCGCACACACACGAUCAGCGAACACACGAUCGGCGAACACAAACGAUCAGCGCACACACGAUCAGCGCACACACGAUCAGCAAACACACGUUCAGCGCACACACACGAUCAGCGAACACACGAUCAGCGAACACACGAUCAGCGAACACACGAUCAGCGCACACACACGAUCAGCGAACACACGAUCAGCGAACACACGAUCAGCGCACACACACGAUCAACGAACACACGAUCAGCGAACACACGAUCAGCGCACACACACGAUCAGCGAACACACGAUCGGCGAUCACACGAUCGGCGAUCACACGAUCAGCGCACACACGAUCAGCACACACACACGAUCAGCGAACACACGAUCAGCGCACACACGAUCAGCGCACGCACGAUCAGCGCACGCACGAUCAGCGAACACACGAUCAGCGCACGCACGAUCAGCGAACACACGAUCAGCGAACACACGAUCAGCGCACACACGAUCAGCACACACACACGAUCAGCGAACACACGAUCAGCGAACACACGAUCAGCGAACACACAAUCAGCGCACACACACGAUCAGCGCACACACAAGAUCAGCACACACACGAUCGGCGCACACACGAUCGGCGCACACACACGAUCGGCGCACACACGAUCAGCGAACACACGAUCAGCGCACACACGAUCAGCGCACGCACGAUCAGCGAACACACGAUCAGCGCACGCACGAUCAGCGAACACACGAUCAGCGAACACACGAUCAGCGCACACACGAUCAGCACACACACACGAUCAGCGAACACACGAUCAGCGAACACACGAUCAGCGAACACACAAUCAGCGCACACACACGAUCAGCGCACAUACGAUCAGCUAACACACGAUCAGCACACACACACGAUCGGCGAACACACGAUCGGCGAACACACGAUCAGCGCACACACACGAUCAGCGCACACACAAGAUCAGCACACACACGAUCGGCGCACACACGAUCGACGCACACACACGAUCGGCGCACACACACGAUCAGCGAACACACGAUCAGCGAACACACGAUCAGCGAACACACGAUCAACGAACACACGAUCAGCACACACACACGAUCAGCACACACACACGAUCAGCGAACACACGAUUAGCGAACACACGAUCAGCACACACACACGAUCGGCGAUCACACGAUCGGCGAACACACGAUCGGCGAACACACGAUCGGCGAACACACGAUCAGCGCACACACACGUUCAGCGCACACACAAGAUCAGCACACACACGAUCGACGCACACACACGAUCGGCGCACACACGAUCAGCGCACGCACGAUCAGCGAACACACGAUCAGCGCACGCACGAUCAGCGAACACACGAUCGGCGAUCACACGAUCGGCGAACACACGAUCAGCGCACACACACGAUCAGCGCACACACACAAUCAGCGAUCACACGAUCGGCGAACACACGAUCAGCGCACACACACGAUCGGCGAACACACGAUCAGCGCACACACACGAUCAGCGAACACACGAUCAGCGCACACACGAUCAGCGCACACACGAUCAGCGCACACACGAUCAGCGCACACACGAUCAGCGCACACACACGAUCGGCGAACACACGAUCAGCGCACACACGAUCAGCGCACACAUGAUAAGCGCACACACGAUCAGCGCACACACGAUCAGCGCACACACGAUCAGCGCACACACGAUCAGCGCACACACGAUCGGCGAUCACACGAUCAGCGAACACACGAUCAGCGCACACACGAUCAGCGAUCACACGAUCAGCGAACACACGAUCAGCACACACACACGAUCAGCGCACACACGAUCAGCGCACACACGAUCAGCGCACACACACGAUCAGCACACACACACGAUCAGCGCACACACGAUCAGCGCACACACGAUCAGCGCACACACGAUCAGCGCACACACGAUCAGCGAACACACGAUCAGCGCACACACACGAUCAGCGAACACACGAUCAGCGCACACACGAUCAGCACACACACACGAUCAGCACACACACACGAUCAGCGCACACAUGAUCAGCGCACACACACGAUCAGCGCACACACACGAUCAGCGCACACACGAUCAGCGCACACACGAUCAGCGCACACACACGAUCAGCGAACACACGAUCAGCGCACACACACGAUCAGCGAACACACGAUCAGCGCACACACGAUCAGCGCACACACGAUCAGCGCACACACGAUCAGCGAUCACACGAUCAGCGAACACACACUCAUAUAUCAGUCUGACGCUCACCUGA
ensembl:lncRNA